rnacentral:rRNA from 1 species
GAACGCUGGCGGCGUGCCUAAUACAUGCAAGUCGAGCGAACGGACGAGAAGCUUGCUUCUCUGAUGUUAGCGGCGGACGGGUGAGUAACACGUGGAUAACCUACCUAUAAGACUGGGAUAACUUCGGGAAACCGGAGCUAAUACCGGAUAAUAUUUUGAACCGCAUGGUUCAACAGUGAAAGACGGUCUUGCUGUCACUUAUAGAUGGAUCCGCGCUGCAUUAGCUAGUUGGUAAGGUAACGGCUUACCAAGGCAACGAUGCAUAGCCGACCUGAGAGGGUGAUCGGCCACACUGGAACUGAGACACGGUCCAGACUCCUACGGGAGGCAGCAGUAGGGAAUCUUCCGCAAUGGGCGAAAGCCUGACGGAGCAACGCCGCGUGAGUGAUGAAGGUCUUCGGAUCGUAAAACUCUGUUAUUAGGGAAGAACAUAUGUGUAAGUAACUGUGCACAUCUUGACGGUACCUAAUCAGAAAGCCACGGCUAACUACGUG